UAGGGAAUCUUCGGCAAUGGGGGCAACCCUGACCGAGCAACGCCGCGUGAGUGAAGAAGGUUUUCGGAUCGUAAAGCUCUGUUGUAAGAGAAGAACGUGUGUGAGAGUGGAAAGUUAACACAGUGACGGUAACUUACAAGAAAGGGACGGCUAACUACGUGCCAGCAGCCGAGGUAAUCCGUAGGUCCCGAGUGUUGUCCGGAUUUAUUGGGCGUAAAGCCAGCGCAGGCGGUUUAAAAAGUCUGAAGUUAAAGGCAGUGGCUUAACCAAUGUGCGCUUUGGAAACUGGUAAACUUGAGUACAGAAGGGGAGAGUGGAAUUCCAUGUGUAGCGGUGAAAUGCGUAGAUAUAUGGAGGAACACCGGUGGCGAAAGCGGCUCUCUGGUCUGUAACUGACGCUGAGGCUCGAAAGCGUGGGGAGCAAACAGG
rnacentral:rRNA from 1 species